UUUCUUUCUGAUUUUGAUUGGUAGCUCGUUCCAAGAAGUUGUGCCUACAUAAGAUAAACACUCUUUUCCCAAGCUUGUCCUAACCUUUGAAUGAAAUUGGCAUAUUAGAAUUCAUUCAAUUAUUUGUAGAAAUAUUGGACAGCUAUUUUCCAAAAGUGCCUUAAUGAUUGAUACACAGAUCAUGUUGAACCUGGAGAAGGUGCACAUAAUACUGGAAGAGAUGCUGAGUAAUGGACACAUUACAGAGACAAGGAAGGGCCACAUUCUAUCCCAGCUAGGUCUUAUGGAUUCUAACAGAUGAUCAUGAACAUCUUGUAUAAUCCUUACAACAGGCAAGGAUGAGCUGUUUGAGCUACAUCUCAUGGAGUUAAACACAUUUAAUCCAGGGACCAUUUCAUGAAAGCUGUUAGCACUGACAAUUUUUUGUUAUCGUUCAUUACCCAAACUAGUAACAAUGGGACACCUGUGCUUCUCAGCAAAUCCAAAUCAAAGAAAGUUGUCAGAUAUGAUGCUAAUGGUCCAGUCCCAAGUGGCAAGGUGGUUUGGAUGAUACCUUUGGUAAUGGAGCUAACUUUCAUCAAAUAAGGACAAGUUGUCUUAGCUACAUCGUCCUUUUCACUGGUUCCCUGGCUACUGAGCUGCAUACUGUGUGGUAAAUUUGUCUUGCGUCACCUCAGAUUUUUGCCCUUGGCAUUUGUGUUAAUGCUACUAAAUGUCCCUGCAACAGUUCUUGUAAUUUUGAAAAUUACCUACCAAUUCACAGCUAUUUUCUUUCUGGGAUAUUAUUGGUACAUUGCUUUUACAUUAACAAAAUACCAGCUGUUUUCCUGAUUGUGCCAGGGUAGGUGUAAUUGCAUCUAUGAACUGUAGUAGAUAAUGCUGUCCUCCACACUUUCUUCAACCCUCUCCCUAUCUGUUUGCUUACAUGAUGCACAUGUAUGUAUUUAUACUCUUACUAGUAUCUCUACAUUGUAUACUGUUUCACAGGUGAUCUAUGUGUUAAAAAGCUGUGCUUUUAAUUGAUCACCUAAAUCCUGCCUUUAAUUAGUGUUUAUGCAUUGUUAAUUUAUUGAUGACAUUAUGUUUUGUGAAAUUGAAUAAAAUAAACUUUAAUUUUACUUUGAAA